CUCUCCAGUUCAGAUGAAAAGCCUGAGGUGCCAGCUGGGCCCUGGGCAUCUGGCUCCUGCAGUGAUGGCGGCUGGGCAGGGUCUGGGGACCUGGCCCUGAGGGUGCUGCCAGUUCACCACUCUUCUUCAGCCAGGCCUGGGCACUGGUGGGAGAACCAAGACUGGGGCUGGAUGAACUCUCCUGGGUGGAUAACCGGCCCAUGCAGGGACCUCUCCUUGUAGCUAGGGCCUGGACCUCAAACCCUAACAUUUUGAUAUUGUUUGGCCUCACUGUGGGUUGGGCACAGUUACUUGCAUUUGAUAACACUUUGUGUCAGACACUAUGCCAUAUACUCUGUGUGUGUGUAAGUAUGUGCUUAGUCAUGCCCUGUAUACUAGUACUGCAACACUUUAUUAACGGGGAAUCUGAAAGCUCAAGAGAGAGUUAAAGGAAUUUGUCCAAGGUCACUUGGCUUGUAAGGAUGGAGCUGGGAUUAGACUCCAGGUAGUCUGGCCUCAGCAGAGAAGGCAAUGGCAACCCACUCUAGUACUCUUGCCUGGAAAAUCCCUGGUAGGCUACAGUCCAUGGGGUCGCUAGGAGUCAGGCACGACUGAGCAACUUCACUUCCACUUUUCACUUUCAUGCAUUGGAGAAGGAAAUGGCAACCCACUCCAGUGUUCUUGCCUGGAGAAUCUCAGGGAAGGAGGAGCCUGGUGGGCUGCCGUCUAUGGGGUCGCACAGAGUCAGACACGACUGAAGCAACUUAGCAGCAGCAGUAGCAGUCUGGCCUCAGAAUCUGGGCUUUGAGCUACAUUGUCCCUGGACAUAUGUACAUUUAUUUGUUCACUUUUUCAUCAAAUAUUAAUUGAAUGAUGUGUCAGACAUUGCGCUGCUUUUCCAUCAAGAAGAUCUUUUCUCUAAAAAUACUCAGUCUAGUGAGGGAGACAGACACAUGAACACAGAAAUUACUGCUUAAUGUCAGAACAGUUGUGCUUAAAAAUAUAUUCAAAGUACUUAAUUACCUUGAUAUCUUUAAUAAUAAGGAGUUUCAUCUAUUUAUAUAAUUUAAGAGCUAAUAUAAUAUGUAACUGUUCAAAUGGUACCAUCUAUUGUUGGUUAAGAUCAGGGUGAAGUUUAUUGCUAGUAGGUAGAAUAGCAAAUUCAAACUUCUGGGCUCAAGUGUAAAGCGGCAUUAAGCUGCAGGGGGCGAGCAUGAAGCCUGAAGGAACAAGGGUCGUGGUGCACUGUGAUGACAAGGGCAGGGACCAGUGGCAUCGGAAAGGAGGAUGGCCUGGUUUAGAUGUGCCAGACUGCCAUCACAGAAUACCUGCUUACUUCUUCCUGCCUUUUCCAGGAUCUUGAGGCUGAAACAGACUGACUAUUGCAUUGGAACUCUCUCAGGGAAGGGUCCAAGCUGCUUCUCCUUGAAGACAACAACAUACCAGCCCCAACCUCACAGAUGGUGUUAGUCAUCCUGAUAAUGCACCUCAGUUAAUAUCUCAAGUCGGGAUCCAGCUACGCUUACUUGCUUUGUGCACCAGGUACUUGAACAACAAGCUGUAGAUACAUUGAUGUUUGCUAAAUCAAAUUAGUUUUUAAAUGUACUGGAGUGGCUUGCUAUUUGAAGGUAAUUGAUGUUAAAACCCUAAAAUAAAAAAAUGGUUUGCAAAGAAA
ensembl:lncRNA